CCAGCACAGACCCUGCAGUCCAGGAACCUGCCCGCCUCUCUGUCUCCUUGACAACCAGACGCUCAGUGUGGGUGACACCUGGCUCCAAGGAGAAUGUAAACAAUGCACGUGCACUCCAGAGGGAGUUUUCUGCCAAGACAUCGACUGCAGAGUGGACGGUGCUUGGACCC